rnacentral:rRNA from 1 species
UACGAACUGUGCAAGCGUUGUUCGGAUUCAUUGGGCGUAAAGGGUGCGUAGGCGGCGCGGUAAGUCGGGUGUGAAAUCUCGGAGCUUAACUCCGAAACUGCAUUCGAUACUGCCGUGCUUGAGGACUGGAGAGGAGACUGGAAUUUACGGUGUAGCGGUGAAAUGCGUAGAUAUCGUAAGGAAGACCAGUGGCGAAGGCGGGUCUCUGGACAGUUCCUGACGCUGAGGCACGAAGGUCAGGGGAGCAAACGGG